AGAGUUUGAUCCUGGCUCAGAUUGAACGCUGGCGGCAGGCUUAACACAUGCAAGUCGAGCGGGCGAGGUUGCUUCGGUAACUGAGCUAGCGGCGGACGGGUGAGUAAUGCUUAGGAAUCUGCCUAUUAGUGGGGGACAACAUUCCGAAAGGAAUGCUAAUACCGCAUACGCCCUACGGGGGAAAGCAGGGGAUCUUCGGACCUUGCGCUAAUAGAUGAGCCUAAGUCAGAUUAGCUAGUUGGUGGGGUAAAGGCCUACCAAGGCGGCGAUCUGUAGCGGGUCUGAGAGGAUGAUCCGCCACACUGGGACUGAGACACGGCCCAGACUCCUACGGGAGGCAGCAGUGGGGAAUAUUGGACAAUGGGCGCAAGCCUGAUCCAGCCAUGCCGCGUGUGUGAAGAAGGCCUUUUGGUUGUAAAGCACUUUAAGCGAGGAGGAGGCUACUGGUAUUAAUACUACCGGAUAGUGGACGUUACUCGCAGAAUAAGCACCGGCUAACUCUGUGCCAGCAGCCGCGGUAAUACAGAGGGUGCGAGCGUUAAUCGGAUUUACUGGGCGUAAAGCGUGCGUAGGCGGCUUUUUAAGUCGGAUGUGAAAUCCCUGAGCUUAACUUAGGAAUUGCACUCGAUACUGGGAAGCUAGAGUAUGGGAGAGGAUGGUAGAAUUCCAGGUGUAGCGGUGAAAUGCGUAGAGAUCUGGAGGAAUACCGAUGGCGAAGGCAGCCAUCUGGCCUAAUACUGACGCUGAGGUACGAAAGCAUGGGGAGCAAACAGGAUUAGAUACCCUGGUAGUCC
rnacentral:rRNA from 1 species